rnacentral:rRNA from 1 species
CGAAUGGCUCAUUAAAUCAGUUAUCGUCUAUUUGAUAGUACCUUACUACUUGGAUAACCGUGGUAAUUCUAGAGCUAAUACAUGCUGAAAACCCCGACUUCGGAAGGGAUGUAUUUAUUAGAUUAAAAACCAAUGCCCUCCGGGGCUCCCUGGUGAUUCAUGAUAACUUCUCGAAUCGCACGGCCUUGCGCCGGCGAUGGUUCAUUCAAAUUUCUGCCCUAUCAACUUUCGACGGCUGGGUCUUGGCCAGCCAUGGUGACAACGGGUAACGGAGGGUUAGGGCUCGACCCCGGAGAAGGAGCCUGAGAAACGGCUACUACAUCUAAGGAAGGCAGCAGGCGCGCAAAUUACCCAAUCCCGACGCGGGGAGGUAGUGACAAUAAAUACUGAUACAGGGCUCUUUAGGGUCGUGUAAUUGGAAUGAGUACAGUUUAAUUCCCUUAACGAGGAACAAUUGGAGGGCAAGUCUGGUGCCAGCAGCCGCGGUAAUUCCAGCUCCAAUAGCGUAUAUUAAAGUUGUUGCAGUUAAAAAGCUCGUAGUUGAACCUUGGGCCUGGCUGGCCGGUCCGCCUCACCGCGUGCACUGGUCCGGCCGGGCCUUUCCCUCUGGGGAGCCGCAUGCCCUUCACUGGGCGUGCCGGGGAACCAGGACGUUUACUUUGAAAAAAUUAGAGUGUUCAAAGCAGGCUUAUGCUCGGAUACAUUAGCAUGGAAUAAUGGAAUAGGACGUGCGGUUCUAUUUUGUUGGUUUCUAGGACCGCCGUAAUGAUUAAUAGGGACAGUCGGGGGCAUCAGUAUUCAAUUGUCAGAGGUGAAAUUCUUGGAUUUAUUGAAGACUAACUACUGCGAAAGCAUUUGCCAAGGAUGUUUUCAUUAAUCAGGAACGAAAGUUAGGGGAUCGAAGACGAUCAGAUACCGUCGUAGUCUUAACCAUAAACUAUGCCGACUAGGGAUCGGACGCUGUUGUCUUUUGACGCGUUCGGCACCUUACACGAAAGUACAAG